CUAAGUUGAGGUUUUGGCUUCUGCUUGAAGUGUUGGUAAGAACAGAUGGGCAGGCCUGGGCUCUGCUUGAUUUGUACAGCAAAAGAAUUCCUUAGUUUAACAAAGAUGUAACUCUGGCCAGCACACCACAUAGUCACAUGCCUUCUAGCUGAUACCAUCCCUGAGUCCUAUAGACCCCAGAGCUCCUUAAAGAGGAAGAUGGGAACCUCAGACGGUUGCUGCUUCAUUCAAAUCUCCAGGCCGAUUGAUAUCAAAGAUGGACAGGACUUGAAAAAUAAUGGAGGGUUCCCUCAAGCUUAACUAGAGCCAUGCCUGUCCAUGGCCUGCUGGACCGUGUGUGUUCCCUCCUCACUGUGCAGCCAGCAGUUACACAUUCUGCCUGUGGCCCAUCUGCCAGCAUCCAGCCCUUUCUGGUCCAUCACAGGACACAGCAGGUCAUGUCCCUGACUUGUUUAUCAUCCCUGGAAUUACUGACUCUGCAUAACACCAGGUGGUCCAAACAAAAUUGUCUCCAACCAAGAAACUUCCCAGUGAAAGAAAUAAGAGAGUUGGCAAGCCAUGAGCCAUUAUCGUAUUUCCCAUCCACCAGAAGCAGCUGGCCUUACAGAACAAGAAAUGGUGUUCUGAAAACAGAUCUAGCAGUGUCCAGGAGACCACACCUGUGAGGUUGAGACACUUUCUUGUAGAAAGUGAUAUGUAAUCUCAAACAGUGACUGAAAUACGAUGUCAAUUCUCCCUUAGCCAACAGCAUCCAGAAACCAAGGAGGGUGAGUGGUGGAGGGUGGCAGUUCUCACAGUUAAUUUUCUCUCUAAAAAUAUUUGCUUUUCAUCCUCCGAGUCACUCAUGCUCUGUGGACUUAACUGUCCAAAAGUGAGGUGUUUUCACAGGGAACUCAAUAAAGAUUCCAGCUGGCAAUUUGGGACUCCUCCUCCCACUAAGCAAUGACAGAAGAGGAUGUUCGUGUGCUAGCUGUGCUCGCCCUGAUUAUGAAGGGGAAAUAGGGUUAUCACUCCCCAAUAGGGCCCUCAAGGGGCAGAGGUGAUUGCAUCGUGCAACCAUACCCAGUGGCACAAGUUAACAGAAAAUGAUCACAAUACAUAUUAACGUUCUAAUUUUCCUCCUUGCUGUUGUAUACAUCAGGGUCUGGUAAAAAUUGUGUACCAAUUUGUUCAAGGUUUUGGGAUGGUAAGAAAUAACCAACCCUUGGUUAGCAAGAAAUAGAGGAGGAAUGGGCAGCACUUGGAAACUCUGAACUCUGAAAUUUAGAAGAAACGUUGAUGGUGGUCUGCAAUAUCACAUUCGUAUAUCUUGAUGAGACUUUGUAGUUGGCUCCUCUGAGGGAUGUUGAAGUGCAUCUGUGGCCAUAACUGGAGAGGUGGAACAAAAUACACACUGGGGUGCCUGGGGCUGGUUGUAUGCCCUCUUUUGUCUACAUACUGUACCUAUGCAACUUCAUCCAGUCCUAUGGCUUUAGGAGUUCACACUACCGGUGACUCCUAAACUUAUAUUUCCAGCUCCGGCCUCACCUGAAAGUCCAGACUAUAUAUCCACCUGCCUACUUGAUCAAGUCCUUGGGGGCUUCACAAGGAUCUCAAAUCAACAUGUCCUUCAACCAUUGUGGAAAGCAGUAUGGAGGUUCCUCAAAAAACUCAAAAUAGAAAUACCACUUGACCCAGGAAUUCCACUCCUAGGAAUUUACCCUAAGAAUGCAGGAGCCCAGUUUCAAAAAGACAUAUGCACCCCUAUGUUUAUAGCAGCACUAUUUACAAUAGCCAAGAAAUGGAAGCAGCCUAAGUGUCCAUCAGUAGAUGAAUGGAUAAAGAAGAGGUGAUACAUAUACACAAUGGAAUAUUAUUCAGCCAUAAGAAGAAAACGAAUCCUACCAUUUGCAACAACAUGAAUGGAGCUAGAGGGUAUUAUGCUCAGUGAAAUAAGUCAGGCAGAGAAAGACAAAUAUCAAAUGAUUUCAUUCAUCUGUGGAGUAUAAGAACAAAGAAAAAACUGAAGGAACAAAACAGCAGCAGACUCACAGAACCCAAGAAUGGACUAACAGUUACCAAAGGGAUAGGGACUGGGGAGGAUGGGUGGGAAGGGAGGGAUAAGGGGGAAAAAAGGGCAUUACGAUUAGCACACAUAAUGUAGCGGUGGGGGGGACACAGGAAAGGCAGUAUAUGCAGAGAAGACAAGUAAUGAUUCUAUAGCAUCUUACUACGCUGAUGGACAGUGACUGUAAUGGGGUAUGUGGGGACUUGAUAAUAGGGGGAAUCUAGUAACCAAAAUGUUUUUCAAGUAAUUGUACAUUAACGAUACCAAAAAAAAAAAAAAAAAAAAAAAAGGGCAACCCUUACUGGAAAAAAAAAAAAAAAACAUGUCCAAAGCAAAACGGCUGGUGUCUGGCUGUCAGCCAUCCCUAAACUGCUCCUAUUACUCAAAAAAAAAAAACAACUCUAGAGCUGCCCUGUCCAAUAUGGUAGUCACUAAUCACAUGUAGCUAUUUAAAUUUUAAUUAAAUAAAAUAGUUUUACUAGCCACAUUUCAAGAGCUCAAUAGUCACAUGUAUCUAGUAGCUACCAUAUUGGAUAAUAAGAUACAGAGCAUUUCCAUUAUCACAGUUCUAUCAGGGCUUCUCUGGAAAGGUUGCCAUUGAUUCCUUUUUCCCUCACCUCUUACAUGUAAUCCAUUAAAAAAUCCUAUGGAUUUUACCUCCAAAGCAUUCCCUGAAGCACUCCUAUUUCCCUUCCACCCAUUCCUACCACCCUAGUCAAUACCACUAUCACCUUACACCUGGACUGCUAAACUCACUUCUUUAUUGCAGUUGUUUCAAUCUUCCCCAUCUAUAAUCAUUUCUCCUAUAGUGGACAGAAUGAUUCUUUCAAAACUGAAAAUAAGAUCAUGUCUUGCCCCUGCUGCAAUCUUUCCAGUGGCUUCUGUGGCAGAGACUAUGGUUUUAUCCUUUUAUUUUUUCUCUCCUCAGUAAAAGAACCUCUGAAGUGCAGGUGAGUACAUAGGAGCCCAAGAUAAAGUACAUAUUUUCCAAAGUCCCUCCUGGCGUGGUCAUGUGACAGUUCUGAUCAGUGAAAGCCAAUGAGGUUGUGUGGUCUCCUGGAAUGUCCUUAAAAAGAGUAGAUUCUUCCUGCUGCUGUAACAGGCAUGAUGGCUGAAGCUGGAAUAGAUUGUGAGGUGAACUUGGGAGUGGAGGUAAUGCACUGUGGAGCAACAAGACAGAAGGAACCUGGGUCCCUGACAGAGUGGAACAACCCACCAGCCCUGGAAUACCUCCCUGUACUUCUACA